rnacentral:lncRNA from 1 species
UCACAUAUCCAUUUACCAAAUAAUAUUCCUAUUCCCAGCAGUUGCCCUGUGCAAAGACAUGUUUGUUCUCCCAUAUAUCCCGGUGAAGAAGACCUCCAUGUGACCUAUCUUCACAUUGCUUUCCAUUUGUUCGUGGCGGGCAAAUUUCCUGUUAGUCAAGUAUUUAAUCGUCUCUUACCUUGAUUGUCUGAAAGUAGUUGCUAUCCAUACAUUCAGGUCUAAGAAGAUUAAAUAGGGGCAAUUGUCAUACCCUAAAAUUCUCCCCACCCUUAUCAUAUAGGUCAUUAACCCUAAACAUUUGCAUA